CUCACAUCGUCUCUGUCAGCGCUAGCUCUAUACUAGGCCCAGGCCGCCAGGACGGGUCAGGCGCAUGCAACCGGGCAUUUACAGGAAGGGCAGGGAGACGCCGUUGGUGGCGUAGUUCACGUGCCAGGGGUCCUUCAGGUGGGCAGCCAGGUUGUCCACGGGGCCGGCGCCUGCAUUCAAAACAUCAGGACGCUGGUUACAGGCUAUUGCGCACUUACGAUUUGUGGAUCAAGCUACUCGGCAAGCCAUCAGAAGCAACGGCCCGCGGAUAGGUCUGACGUUCAGGCUCCAGGUCGCAAAUUGCUGAACACGCUAUUGACUCACCGGUGGCGUACUUCUGGGCAACGAAGCCCAGGAAGGCCAGCAUGGCCAGGCGGCCGUUCUUGACCUCCUUCAGCUUCCAGUCAGCCCACUUGUCGGCCUCCUUGGACAGGCCUGUAGUCCAAGGCACAGAGGGUGAACCGGGGAAUACUGAACACCGUGCUCGUAGCGUGUUCAGGGAGGCAGCAGCAGCGAAGUACCACCAUGAGGUUGAGACUCCUUGCGACCCGCGUCACCCCUUAAGUUCGCUGACACCAGUCGAACACGUAGGAACACGUAGGGACAAGCAGCACGCAAGCAUUGCAAUCAUGUACUGGCGAAGCCCGUCACAGAGGCAUUCCGCGGCAGGCACCAACGGGUAUAUCCCAUCCACGAACACGAAUUGCGUUGUCAGCCUCACCAAGGGGGUCGAAGGGGCCGCCGGGGUAGCCCAGCUCCGAGGUGCCCUUCAGGGACGCCUCGAAGCCCAGGAACGAGCCAGGCUCGCCCUGGCUGCCGGGCUUGCGGAUGUCCUGCCAGCGCUUGGCCUCCACGAAGCCGCACAGGAACAGCUGCACAGCCAGCAGAGAGCCUGCAAAACGCGACCACAUUGCAUUGUCUCAGAAGGUUGAGCAGCGCAAGCUGAGCGGUCAUACUCAUCAGCCGGAUGAGCCCCCAUGUCAAGCCUAGCAUGGCAUAGCUGUCAAGCAGAAGCACCGCCGGCCAGUUCGCAUUGUCAUACUGCAGCCUGCACGCGGAGGCUUCUCCUGACGAUUGUCGCAGCACUCCCCUACUCAUGGAAGGGUUUCUUAAGCAUUUUAGUGUCGACAGAUGCCGCGCCCAUCUCACCCCAGGGAGCGAACGAGUUCUCGAUCGCCACCUUGCCGGCGUCGUACCACUCAGGCACGUUCAGGGCGCCAGCCUUGGUCAGCAGCUGCAGGUCAGGAAAGGGUGCGCCUCGUCAGCAACGGAUGCGUCAGAAGGAUGCCCAUGCUACUAAGCUGACUGCCAACGUGAGCAGACAAUGCAGGCCAACUGUGCAACGCAGCGCAUGCGAUGCCCCCUGCGGAAGCCCACCGGAGUCGUUACCGUAGACUGAUACCCCCCUCAUGGCACCACCCUGCCUAUCCCCUCCUUCCCAACCGACCCCUCACGAGGCCAGUGUCAUUUCCCUACUUACGCCGGGGAUCAGGAUACCGGCAACACCAGCCAUGGCAGUGCGGCAGUGGAUCAGCUCAGCCUGCUGGUACCUGCGAGCGCAGGCAGCGCCGGCGAGUCCCGGUGGUCGGCAAGGAUAUCCAACACUUCCAAAACAGCCUGGCGCCAUCGGUCAGCUGCCAGGCAUGCAAGUGCUGUAUUGCACUGAAUUGUCGAGGCCCCACUCGAAGUCCGCUUGCUGUGCCCAUCAAAGUUCGCGAUCGAUUAGCCUACCAGCGCAGAGCCACGGGGUCCUUGCCCAGGCCCAGGGGGUCGAAGCCUGCAGAUAAUGAUCAAAGCGACUGUGAGAAGCCAGCUCGCGUCCACUGACCCCUUCGCGCAGCGUGAUUCUGCUCCCAUCGAGUCUUCACUGCAGCGCUACGCCGCGCUCACCGAAGUUGCCAGCCAGCGCCUGAGCAGCGGGGGUGUCCAGGUGGGCGGGGAUCUGGCUGCCCGGCAGCCACGACUGGCGAGCGACGCAGGUCACCACCGACUUGCGGGAGGAGGCCGAGCGAGCGGCCACGCCCGAGCGCUUCAUGGUAAGGGCCAUUGUUGCAGGUGAGUGUGGUCCGUGUUCGG
rnacentral:lncRNA from 1 species